rnacentral:rRNA from 1 species
CCUACGGGUGGCAGCAGUGGGGAAUAUUGCACAAUGGGCGCAAGCCUGGUGCAGCCAUGCCGCGUGUGUGAAGAAGGCCUUCGGGUUGUAAAGCACUUUCAGCGGGGAGGAAGGCGUUAAGGUUAAUAACCUUGUCGAUUGACGUUACCCGCAGAAGAAGCACCGGCUAACUCCGUGCCAGCAGCCGCGGUAAUACGGAGGGUGCAAGCGUUAAUCGGAAUUACUGGGCGUAAAGCGCACGCAGGCGGUCUGUCAAGUCGGAUGUGAAAUCCCCGGGCUCAACCUGGGAACUGCAUUCGAAACUGGCAGGCUAGAGUCUUGUAGAGGGGGGUAGAAUUCCAGGUGUAGCGGUGAAAUGCGUAGAGAUCUGGAGGAAUACCGGUGGCGAAGGCGGCCCCCUGGACAAAGACUGACGCUCAGGUGCGAAAGCGUGGGGAGCAAACAGGAUUAGAUACCCCAGUAGUC